GAUGUACGUCACUGGUAAUUAUAUAAAUGUUUAUUUUUAAUUAGGAAAUAAACUUAGCAACACAUAUAGAUUUGAUUAAAAAGCUUUGCAUUGUGCACAAACAAAACUACAUCUCUUCAGGUUUCUAGUCCUGAAGACGGUUAGUGGGUGUGUGUGGUUGCCAUGACGCCGUGGGCCAUGGAUGUUUACAUGUCAACCAAUUUCUGCUGACCAAACCAGUUUCUAGAGAAAACUUUGAGUGGAUACACGUUGACAACAAUGAUGGAAAACAACAGAUCUGUAGAAAACGCUGAUGAGCUGCUCUCCGUAGAUGUGGAUGAGGAGGUUGAUGUUUAUGGGUUUAUACCUCUGGCAUUGUCCCAUGACCACUGUGAUGUACUACUGGACGUAAUAGACACACAACUGAGUCAUCUACUGAUCCACAGCCAAAGCCGGAUGCAUGGAGCAAACGCCAAGAGAUUUGAAUGUCCUUUCUUGGGUAAGCAUGAACCAUUUUUCUGCAAUAAUAAUCAUAUCAAAUUUUUAGUACCUUUUUUUUAAUUUC